rnacentral:rRNA from 1 species
AAGUCGUAACAAGGUUCACUUUCCGGAAGCCUUGGCUGCAGCGACUCUAAACAUAUUGCAAUUGGUCUGCGGUAGCUUUUAGCCGAGCAGGCGACAUCGUUCAAAUGCUGGAAUUGGAUUCUGCGACCGCGGGUCCAUAUCAGCUGCCCGGCGUUCGCCCAACGCCGCCGGGUUCACAGAUCAAUCAACGAUGAUCAUCGGGGAGGCUCUCGAUGAUUGAGAUAUGACCGGUCCCGGCUGUAAUCGUCGUGGGAGAAACGUUCCGUAGGUGAACCUGCGGAAGGAUCAUUACCGAGAGUGGAGCCUGGCUCCGGGGGGCCAGCCGCCCCCACCUCUUCACCCAUGUGGAUAUUUCCGCGUUGCUUUGGCGAGCUCUUCGGGAACCCCUGGGGGCCAUCGCCAGAGACCCAAUUCAUUGCUGUGUAUAAUUGUGAUCUGAGUAAACCUAUAAUUGUUAAGACUUUCAACAACGGAUCUCUUGGCUCUGGCAUCGAUGAAGAACGCAGCGAAAUGCGAUAAGUAAUGUGAAUUGCAGAAUUCAGUGAAUCAUCGAAUCUUUGAACGCACAUUGCGCCCCUUGGUAUUCCGAGGGGCAUACCUGUUCGAGCGUCAUUGCUCAUCUCAAGCUCGGCUUGGUCUUGGGCGUGCGUCCCGCGGGACGGGCCCGAAAAACAGUGGCAGUGCGGCCGUGACCGCGAGCGUAGUAAUUAAUCGUUCGCUCCGCGCGUGACGCCGUGCCCGCCAGCCAACCCGUGAUUCAUCACCGGUUGACCUCGGAUCAGGUAGGGAUACCCGCUGAACUUAAGCAUAUCAAUAAGCGGAGGAAAAGAAACCAACCGGGAUUGCCUCAGUAACGGCGAGUGAAGCGGCAACAGCUCAAAUUUGAAAUCUGGCUCCGUGCGGGGUCCGAGUUGUAAUUUGUAGAGGGUGUUUCGGGUGCGGUGCCGGUCUAAGUUCCUUGGAACAGGACGUCAUAGAGGGUGAGAAUCCCGUCUGCGAGUCGGCCACCAACCCCGGGUGAAACCCCUUCGACGAGUCGAGUUGUUUGGGAAUGCAGCUCAAAAUGGGUGGUAAAUUUCAUCUAAAGCUAAAUACCGGCCAGAGACCGAUAGCGCACAAGUAGAGUGAUCGAAAGAUGAAAAGCACUUUGGAAAGAGAGUUAAAAAGUACGUGAAAUUGUUGAAAGGGAAGCGCUUGCGACCAGACCUGUUCCCGGGCGAUCAUCCGCCAUUCGUGGCGGUGCACUCGCCCGGACGCAGGCCAGCAUCGGUUUGGGCGGCGGGACAAAGGGCUCGGGAAUGUAGCUCCCUCCGGGGAGCCUUAUAGCCCGGGUCGCCAUGCCGCCCGCCCGGACCGAGGACCGCGCUUCGGCUAGGAUGCUGGCGUAAUGGUCGUAAGCGACC